rnacentral:rRNA from 1 species
AGGGUUUGAUUAUGGCUCAGGAUGAACGCUGGCGGCGUGCCUAAUACAUGCAAGUCGAACGGGAGCAGCAAUGCUCCAGUGGCGAACGGGUGAGUAAAACGUAGGUAACCUGCCCUUUGCAGGGGGAUAACCGGCGGAAACGGCGGUUAAUACCGCAUAGGUGGAGAGAUCGCAUGAACUUUCCAUUAAAGGUGGGGAACACCGGCAGAGGAUGGACCUACGGCGCAUUAGCUAGUUGGCGGGGCAGCGGCCCACCAAGGCGACGAUGCGUAGCCGGCCUGAGAGGGCGACCGGCCACACUGGGACUGAGACACGGCCCAG